ACAGUGGUGGUUCAGGGGUAGAAUUCUCACCUUCUAUGCAGGAGACCUGGGUUCCAAUCCUGGCCAAUGUG
rnacentral:tRNA from 1 species